GGGCGCUUAACUCAGCCCGGUAGAGUGCCAUCUUCACACGGUGGAAGUCAUAGGUUCAAAUCCUAUAGCGCCCACCA
rnacentral:tRNA from 1 species